rnacentral:rRNA from 1 species
GACGAACGCUGGCGGCGUGCCUAAUACAUGCAAGUUGAGCGCUGAAGGUUGGUACUUGUACCGACUGGAUGAGCAGCGAACGGGUGAGUAACGCGUGGGGAAUCUGCCUUUGAGCGGGGGACAACAUUUGGAAACGAAUGCUAAUACCGCAUAAAAACUUUAAACACAAGUUUUAAGUUUGAAAGAUGCAAUUGCAUCACUCAAAGAUGAUCCCGCGUUGUAUUAGCUAGUUGGUGAGGUAAAGGCUCACCAAGGCGAUGAUACAUAGCCGACCUGAGAGGGUGAUCGGCCACAUUGGGACUGAGACACGGCCCAAACUCCUACGGGAGGCAGCAGUAGGGAAUCUUCGGCAAUGGACGAAAGUCUGACCGAGCAACGCCGCGUGAGUGAAGAAGGUUUUCGGAUCGUAAAACUCUGUUGGUAGAGAAGAACGUUGGUGAGAGUGGAAAGCUCAUCAAGUGACGGUAACUACCCAGAAAGGGACGGCUAACUACGUGCCAGCAGCCGCGGUAAUACGUAGGUCCCGAGCGUUGUCCGGAUUUAUUGGGCGUAAAGCGAGCGCAGGUGGUUUAUUAAGUCUGGUGUAAAAGGCAGUGGCUCAACCAUUGUAUGCAUUGGAAACUGGUAGACUUGAGUGCAGGAGAGGAGAGUGGAAUUCCAUGUGUAGCGGUGAAAUGCGUAGAUAUAUGGAGGAACACCGGUGGCGAAAGCGGCUCUCUGGCCUGUAACUGACACUGAGGCUCGAAAGCGUGGGGAGCAAACAGGAUUAGAUACCCUGGUAGUCCACGCCGUAAACGAUGAGUGCUAGAUGUAGGGAGCUAUAAGUUCUCUGUAUCGCAGCUAACGCAAUAAGCACUCCGCCUGGGGAGUACGACCGCAAGGUUG